rnacentral:rRNA from 1 species
GAUGAACGCUGGCGGCGUGCCUAAUACAUGCAAGUCGAGCGAACAGACGAGGAGCUUGCUCCUCUGACGUUAGCGGCGGACGGGUGAGUAACACGUGGAUAACCUACCUAUAAGACUGGGAUAACUUCGGGAAACCGGAGCUAAUACCGGAUAAUAUAUUGAACCGCAUGGUUCAAUAGUGAAAGACGGUUUUGCUGUCACUUAUAGAUGGAUCCGCGCCGCAUUAGCUAGUUGGUAAGGUAACGGCUUACCAAGGCAACGAUGCGUAGCCGACCUGAGAGGGUGAUCGGCCACACUAGAACUGAGACACGGUCCAGACUCCUACGGGAGGCAGCAGUAGGGAAUCUUCCGCAAUGGGCGAAAGCCUGACGGAGCAACGCCGCGUGGGUGAUGAAGGUCUUCGGAUCGUAAAACUCUGUUAUUAGGGAAGAACAAAUGUGUAAGUAACUAUGCACGUCUUGACGGUACCUAAUCAGAAAGCCACGGCUAACUACGUG